rnacentral:tRNA from 1 species
GGGAAUGUAGUCCAGUGGUAGAACUUGUGCUUAGCAUGCACAAGGCCCUGAGUUCAACCCUCAAGCCCA